rnacentral:rRNA from 1 species
UGGGGAAUAUUGCACAAUGGGCGAAAGCCUGAUGCAGCAACGCCGCGUGAGGGAAGACGGUUUUCGGAUUGUAAACCUCUGUUUUCGGUGACGAACAAAUGACGGUAACCGAGUAGGAAGCCACGGCUAACUACGUGCCAGCAGCCGCGGUAAUACGUAGGUGGCAAGCGUUAUCCGGAAUUACUGGGUGUAAAGGGAGCGCAGGCGGGAUAGCAAGUCAGCUGUGAAAACUAUGGGCUCAACCCAUAAACUGCAGUUGAAACUGUUAUUCUUGAGUGGAGUAGAGGCAAGUGGAAUUCCUAGUGUAGCGGUGAAAUGCGUAGAUAUUAGGAGGAACACCAGUGGCGAAGGCGGCUUGCUGGACGACAACUGACGCUGAGGCUCGAAAGCGUGGGGA